GUCUGGGGGUCCUGGAUCCUAUACCUGCCUUUAGUAACUGAUGGAGAAAGCUGUGGACCCUCUCUGCGCCUAGGCUCUUCUUCCCUGUGGAGCUGGGAAGGCAUACCUACGUAGGAGGGCUUGGAGGCGGCAACAGGAGCCUUCCACUUCCUUCACAGUAGGUCCACAGAGGAACAAGGCUGCCUAGAAGUAUCACUGGGCCUCAUUGUGACCUCUUCUGCCUGGAUGGACAGAUUUGGAUGGAGCUUGGGGUGUUUCCGUGAUACCUAGGCUCUCUUGAGUAAGUCACAUUUCCUUGUGGGGUGAAUGUGAAGGAGACAGCUGUGCAGACUGUUUCCCAGAGCUUCUCCAGGCCACGAGGAUGACUGUCCACAGAGAGGCACGUAGUGAUGUUCCUGUGCUUGCCUCUCAUGCCUGGCCACCUCCAUACAUUCUCCAUCUUCCAGUAACACUUCACAGAUCCCUACCUCUUUACCCAUAUGGCAAUUAGAGAUGUUGAUGAUUGACAGGCACUUAUUAGAUGGAGUCAUAUGCUUCUCGGUAUAGCUAUAAAUGUUUUAACAUCCACACAGCCAUUCAGGCUUUCAUUAGAAAAAAAGAAAAAGAAACCAACAGCCAGGGCUUGGCCCCACUGGGUUCUCAUAUCUAAGAGGGUGUACUAGGGGAGUUUUAGAGUCACCUGUAGGUCUGUAUUGACUUGGUCCAAAUCGCCUCCAUAUCUCAGGUUGACUCCUGUUGAUUCUGUACCCAACACAGACUUUAAAAUCGAGAGGUGGGCAGCGUUUAGACUUACAAGGAGUUCAGCAUGGACAAUCCUCAGAAAAGAUGCCUUGGUGAGGAGGUCAAGAGGCAAUCCUUUGUGCUGGAACUGGAGUUCCAUUGGUGAAUACAGCUCUGUUUCUAGGCUUUCCUUGUUGAGUAGAUUCUCAGUGUGUUACAGAGUAAACUAUCUUCUGAAGGAGACAAGUUUCCAGCCCUUUGAGCCAUGAGACCACAUAUGUGAUGGCCUUUGAAAAGGUAGGAAGUGUUAGAAUCAGGAAGAAACUCAAGUCAUUAAACCCCACAGACAUCAGUUAUAAAGUUGCAACUUGAGUACAUACAGCCAAUGGUCCCUGGGCCCAGCUGCCAUGACUGAAUUGAACAGUGUGUUUUUCUGUGAGGCUGUCUGUGUUUAAAGGACGGCCAGGACACCUGUCUGUGGAUGACUCCAUCCUGCUCUCAUGGGGUCCCACCAGACCUCACAUAGACAGUCCUACUACAAAAGAGAACUGGGCUGUGCACAUGGUCCGAGACGUGGCCCUUGAAUCUGCACUUAACUUUUCAGAGAGAAAAUUCUGUCCCUUCCGGAGAGAAAACAAAGUACCACGUCACAAGGAGUGGUGGGCUGCGGGAAUGAAUCUACUCAGUUUUCUUGGUAAUCAGCCCUUCUGGAGGCCUGAGAAACUGGGACUCUGCAGACCAGGCAGGGUGCUUUUCUUUCCUUUCCCGAAGGUCCCUGGUGGACAGAGGCCACCGAGAAGCUUAUCAUGGUCUGUGAGUUGUUGCCUCUGGAAAAGUUUACUCAUUUGAAGGGGAAAACAUGCUUCAGGCUCCAUCUUUACAAGAAGACCCUUCACCAAAUCAAACGUCUUAAAAGUCCUUGUGGAAGGCAGAGGAGGAAACUGAAGCUAUGCUGGCCGGCAGUCAUGUUCAGUCUCGUGAACGUCUCGAGGACAUGACCCUGUGCAGACAAGGCCUCUGCUCCCUCUGCUACAGUAGAGCACGUGUCACAGUGGAGACAGGAGGUCCUGUGCACUUCUGGAGUAGUCCAGCCUUGUCUAUUUAGACUGUGUUGGAUGGGACAACCACUGCCCUUAUCUUGUUCCAGAACAUUUCCAACAUCAUGAAAGAAACCUUGUACAUUAAGCAGUCACCUCCCUUCCCCUGUCCCUGACAACCACCAGCCUGCUGUCUGUCUCUGUGGUUUAUUUUUAGGUUAACAUUUCUGAAGAUUCCAACAAUUCCAUUUUCCAAACUGGAAAAAAAAAACACAUUAACAUGUUGCAAAUAAACUAAAAUAACUAUUGGUUUGUUAUUUAUA